CAAGGCGACGAUCCCUAGCUGGUCUGAGAGGAUGACCAGCCACACUGGAACUGAGACACGGUCCAGACUCCUACGGGAGGCAGCAGUGGGGAAUAUUGCACAAUGGGCGCAAGCCUGAUGCAGCCAUGCCGCGUGUAUGAAGAAGGCCUUCGGGUUGUAAAGUACUUUCAGCGGGGAGGAAGGUGUUGUGGUUAAUAACCGCAGCAAUUGACGUUACCCGCAGAAGAAGCACCGGCUAACUCCGUGCCAGCAGCCGCGGUA
rnacentral:rRNA from 1 species